rnacentral:lncRNA from 1 species
UCUUUGGCUAAUAAUUUAUAAAUGAUUUAUAAUUAAUCAAAUCACUUUUAUCUACAAAUUUUAUAAAAUUCAAGAGUAUUAUACACUUAUUCAUAACUCAAUCUAUUUAUUUAUAAUAUUAAUCGUUUAUAAACCCUUCCCAAUCUGGCAUAUAUAUAUUUGAAACAUGCAACGCUUAGUUGGGUAACAAGCUUCACUAGUAAAAUAUAACUUUUUGAUCAAGUUUACUGAAAUAUCUUUAAGAGUUCAAGAAGCAAAUCUCACUACAGCAAGCCUCCUCACAUUGGGAAAACCAAAGCCAGGCCAGGGCCAAAAGCAGUUUUGGCCCCGGCAUUGAGCCUAGCCAAACUGUUGGAGUGCGAAAACGAAAUUAAUCAGAAAUUAAUAUUUUUUUUAAUUUAAUAAGUAAGAUCGUUUAGAUGUUCACGUGUAUGUCAUAACAAAAUUAAAAGAUUCGAAUCAUUUACCUAAGUUCAAUGAUCAACCUUGAAAUAACUCUGGUCUGCAAACUUCCGUCUCCUUUAAUUGCAAGAAUUUGGUGCUUCAAACCUUCAAGCAUUCUAUGAUAUUCUCCAACGCAAAGACUACACCGGUAUGUGGGCACAUUCUUUCAAUUAAUCCAGAAAUUAAUUCUUGAAUUUUUGGACUACAAGAAAAUAAUAUAUUUUCUCUCUCUUUUUCUCUCUACAAUUUUGAAUCUUGUGG